UUAUUCUAUUAUAAAACCCUAAACCGAAAUCAAAACCCGUUAGCCCAUACUCCCCGACGCCCUAUAAAAGCGCCAGUAAUAAGCUCAUUGAUUCUCAGCCGUCAAGGAUAAAGUUCCAGAAAGAACGGAAGAAAUCGUAAGAGAAACCCUUAAAACGCAGUACGACUGCUGAUAGGGUUUGCACAUUGAACUGGAGUUGCGAUUCUCUCUAGACUGGCAGAGACAAGUGGUAUUGAUUAGAGGUUCAAGAUGGUUGCAACUGUUGGUUCAUAGAAGGGAUACCCAAAAUCAUUUUUUCCUGCAAGAAUAAGUUUUGCAUCCGCUCUGUAUUUGUAGCUAUUGUGUGAUUUGCAUGAUUUCAAUCUGAUCUGAGGUGUUGUGGAUUGGGUGGGUGGCUUGGAGAAUUUUAAAUGAGAUUUGAACUUCCUGAGUCGGAUCUACGGCCCUUUCUCAAUCACUCUAGCUUCAAGUUCUUGAUUUGGUGGAACAGAGCAAAUAUGAAACCUUAAAGGAGAAAAUGGAAGAGAAGCAGAGAGAAAACAGUAGCAUAAAUCAUAGCACAAGUCACAGAUGAAAAUGAAAGGAGAAAAUACGAAAACCUUAACUGCUUGCUGGAACCUUGAAGGGAAAAUGGAA